rnacentral:rRNA from 1 species
GCACCGGCUAACUCCGUGCCAGCAGCCGCGGUAAUACGGAGGGUGCGAGCGUUAAUCGGAAUUACUGGGCGUAAAGCGCAUGCAGGCGGCCUGUUAAGUCAGAUGUGAAAGACCCGGGGCGUUAAACCUCGGAAUUGCAUUUGAAACUGGCAGGCUAGAGUCUUGUAGAGGGGGGUAGGAAUUUCAGGUGUAGCGGUGAAAUGCGUAGAGAUCUGAAGGAAUACCAGUGGCGAAGGCGGCCCCCUCGGACAAAGACUGACGCUCAGAUGCGAAAGCGUGGGGAGCAAACAGGAUUAGAUACCCCUGGUAG